AAUUCGAUGUACCAAAAAAGU
rnacentral:miRNA from 1 species